CAUUUAUGCAGACUGUAUUUACUGAUCAGACAGCAUGAUAUGCUUUCAAGUUCAGUUUUGUUCUGUGCUGUACCUCACUCUAGUAGGACCUGCCUUAUCCAGAGUGUGGGUAAAUCACUGGGCUACACAGGGUCAGUAUAGAGUGGGAGACAAUGCAACUCUGCGUUGCACAAUUUUCUCAGAUAAGGAGAUCAUUGAGGAUUGUAACAUGGACUGGGUCAUGCCCAACCCAAACAAGCCAGGCAGAACUGUGGACAUCGCAGAGUCUGAGCUGUAUGCGGGCCGGGUCACAGUGCUGGAUAACGACAACACCACCACCACAAUUAUGAUACAGAACCUGAGACUGAAUGACACGGCACCCUUAUGCAGAAUGGACUGCUUUACUGAUGGAUCGCUAAAACGGCAUAUUGGGAAAGGAGGGAAUCUGACCAUCGUGGAAUCAUUCAAGCGACAAGGUACUGACAGGAAGCCAACCCAUCUGUCACCUGGCUCAGCUAUUUUCUCUUUGCAGUGAAUCUCCUCAUCCUCCUUGUGGUGACUGUAAUUUGCAGUACUAUAGUUUGCAAAAGAGUGUGCAGAAAAUAAAUCCUAGACACCAAAUCCAAAGAUAGACACCCUUCACUUCUCAAAGUAUUGCAUUCGUGAGCAUCUGGCAUAGAGUGUUAUUUAUGACAAGCUGGCCAUUCCUUCUCUUCCACUCUGGCCUUCGGUACUUUAUGGCAGGAAUAUGAUGAAUGGAAUUACAUGCACUGUACGACUGUAUGCAUGCUUUUACUGUAACUAUUUUUUUAAUGUAAUACGUUUAAUAUUUAAUAUUUUUGUAUCUGUUUGUUUUUCUUUCCUCUUCUUUUAUAAUUCAGGACAGAACUCUCAUAAGCCCCUUUGGGCAUUUUUACUCUCCCGCACAAGUUAUCUUAUCAUAUGCGUUAUGUUAUCCUUUUAUGUUCUUGUAAGCCUUUUUAUUUUUUGCAAAUAAAUCAAAAGAAUUCAAUUACA